GCCCGGCGGGACUUGGCGGAGCCCGGGGGCCGCGCGCCUCCUGGCCGGGGGCGGGCCUGCGCUGGGAACGUGGGAACUCGUUGGGGGCCGCGGCCUUGGCGUCUGUUAUUAUCUGCGGAGGCCUCUCAAAUUUCCUGAGCGGGUUGCGGGGGCUGGGGGGGCGGUUCAAAAGGCAGCUAAGUGGGAAGUGUGGUGAAGCGAGAGGCGGCGCGGCCCGCGGUGGCGGCUGUGAAGAAGCGGGGAGGAGCCACGUGGGCAGGUUCGCCUCGGCCCCCGGCCCCCGCCCCCCGCCCCCCGCCCCGGCUGGUUGCGCAGCCCGCGCCUGGAGCCGCUUUCCCUGCUCGGAGAACCUGUUUUCUUCUUAAGCCUCGCAUCAUCCUAUGUCUCUUGCCUCUCUGAAUCUACUGACUUGUGCAGAUGAUUUUCCUGUCACCUCUAGUGGAUGAUGACAGCUGCAGCCCAUUUCUCUAGCCAGCCAAGCAUGCCAGAAAGCUUGGAGAACCUCAACUGCCCUUUACAGAGCAAAAGCAUCCUCUGAGUAGCUGAAGCUCAGACUUCUAAAUAAGGUAUCUUUACCAAGAUCCCUUUAUGGAAACCACAUGUAAAAGACUUGCCCUAGUCUUCAGCCUGCUGGCUGUGCCGGUUGUAAAGAUGAGCCACAGGUGAAGAAGGCUAUUUAUGUUUUGCACUUAGGUAUCAAAUGUAAUAUGUAUUUAGUGUUCAAAAUUAUAUGGUUCAGAUGUUUUUGUUUGUUUUCCUUACAAAAGGGCGUAUAAACCCUGUAGUAAAUAAUUAAGAAUUCCCAUUUUGGGAAACUUAAAGAUCCUGGCCAAUUCUAACAUGUGGGGGUGUGUGUGUGUGUGUGUGUAUUUAUGUAUAUGUAUGUAUGUAUUUAUAUGUGUGGAGGGGUGGUUUCCCACGUCAGCAAGCAAUUCUCCCAACCCCAGCUGAGUAUCCGACAACUUAACUCAAUUCUGAUACUAUCUACCUGGAGAUAGCAUCAAAUUCCACAGGUUAAGGGCUUGGUCCCAUAAGACACCAGGUGCAAGUCCAGGUAGUUACCUAUGCUUCUGAAUGACCAGCUAUAAGUCAGAGGUUCCCACGACUCCCCCCUUUGGGUUACAGGUUAAGGGUUCAGUCCUAUAAGACUUUCUGUUCCCAUAUCAGAUGCCAGUAGCAAGUCCAGGUUGUCAUCUAUGCUUCUCUCACAUAACCCCUCCUCAGGUUUGAUUAAUUUGUUAGAGUGCCUCACAGAACUCAGAGAAAUGUUUUAUUCACUAGAUUACUUACUUAUUAUAAAAAGACAUAACUCAGGAAUAGUCAUAUAUAUGGAAGAGAUGCAUGGGGCAAGGUGUGGGAAAAGGGCUAGGAACUUCCAUGCCCUUCCCAAGUGUGCCACUCUCCCCUGACCAUAUGUUCACCAACCUGGCAAUUCUCUGCACAUCUUUUUGGAGUUUUAUAGAAGCUUCAUUACAUAGGUAUGAUUGAUUUGGUCUUUGGCCAUUGGUACUGAUUCAGCCUCCAGCCCCUCUCCCUUCUCUUUCUUUUCGUCAAAGAGUGGGACUAAAAGUUCUAACCCUCUAUUCCUGGUUGGUUUCCUUGGCAACCAGCCCCCAUCCUUCUAUGCUAUUCAAGUCAUCCAUUAACAUAAACCUAGUUGUGGUGGAAAGAGUCUUGUUAUGAAUAAAAAGACACUCAUUUACCUUUAUGGCUCUGAAGUACUUUCAGGAACUGAGGACAAAAGACAAAAUAUUAUAACAAAAGAUGCUUCCAUUGUUCUUAUGCUCAGAUAUUCCAAGGUUUGGGGGAUCUGUGAGCCAGAAACCAUGGAUAAAGACCAAAUAUAGCAUAUGUUCCUACCAUGAUGACUACCAACGAAUUACAUUUUUUACAUUGUUCUUCUCUUGAAACUGGAAAUAACUGCAAAGGAAAUUUCAGGGAAAAUAUUUUUUUAGAUUUUAUUUUAAAAUUAUUUUCAAAUUCCACAGAUCUCUUUAAAAGCCAUGCAGGGAGCCCAAUGUGGGACUCGAUCCCAGGACUCCAGGAUCACGCCCUGGGCAGAAGGCAGCGCUAAACCACUGAACCACCCAGGAUGCCCUAGCCUGUCUUUUUUAGAUUUAUUGCUUGUAUUUGGAAAUAAAGUAUUUUUGUUUAUUGUGUUCAUAUUGGCAAUAAUGUUACAUUUCUUAUUCUGAUUGAAGAUUCUUUGGGUUUUUUUUUUACACACACCAUUCAUAAAUUAUAGUAGCAUCAUUUAAAAAAAUAAUUUUUAGGAGUAAAUCUAAAGAAAGAAAAAUGGACAACUCAAUAUUGAAAAUUACAGAUCAUUAUUGAGAGACAAGAACUAAAUAAAUGGAGAUAGUGAUAUACCAUGUUUGAGAAAUAGUAGACUUAAUGUUGUAAAGAUGUUAGAUGUAAAGAUGUUAUUUUAUAAUUCAACAUAACCCCCAUCAAAAUCCCAACAGGUUUUUUAGAUUAAAUUGACAAGCUGAAAACUCAUACAGAUAUACACAGAGCCAGGAACAGCCAAGUUGUUCUUGAAGAACAAAAAGCAGGAGGGCUGAGUAAAUACAAACAGUAAAAACAAACACAUAGGUAGUCAGCUGAUUAUAACAAUCUUGACCUGUGUCUUCACAUGCCAAAUACCAAAAUCCAAAAUCAGUUCUAAAGGAAUUAAAAACUAAAUGUGGAUGAUAAAAUACUAAAGUUUUCAAAGGAAACAACAUUUGCAUGACCUUUGAUAGGCUAUGAUUCAGAAAAUCCCUAAGACCACUCCCAGGUUCAGUAAUUCACUGGAAGAACAGAAUUCAGCAAAGCUAGUAUACUCAUGGUUUUAGUUUACUAUAGUGAAAGAAUACAGAUUAAAAUCAGCAACAGGAAAAGGUGCAUAGGGCAGGGUGCAGGACAGACCAGUCACAGAGAGCUUCCAGUUUGUUUUCUCCCAGUGGCAUUAUGUGAACAGUGCUUGCUUCUCCCAACAGUGAUAUGUGGCAAUGCGCACAGAGUCUUGUCAACCACUAAGCGUUAGUGUCCAGGGUUUGUUUGUUUUGUUUUGUUUCUAUUUAUAUUCAAUUUAUCAACAUAUAGUAUAAUACCCCUUGCUCAUCCCAUUAAGUGCCCUCCUUAGUGUCCAUCACCCAGUCACCCCAUCCCCCUGCCCUCCUCCUCAAUGUCCAGGGUUUUUAAUGGGCAUCAGUCCUCAUAAUCAUGGCUCUCUUCCCACAUUGCUAAUCUUAGUCUCCAUUUCCUCCAAAGGUCAGUGUGAUACCAUAGGGGCCAAGGCCCCCCCAUAAAUCACAUUGUUACUAUAGACUAUUUGGCAUAGCUUAAGACCCCAAGUAAACAAAGACACUCUUAUGAGGCAGGACAUUCAAGGCUUAUGGGUUACCUCCUGGGAGUCAGGGAUAAGGGCCAUACUUUUCUUUGGACAAGAUUAAUCUUUUGCUACCCAUAGGUAAACAGAGUUCUUAAACAGGAAGUAUCAAAAGCUCUAGACAUAAAUAUAAAAUGAUAAAUUGGUCUUUAUUAAGAACUUUUAUUCAUUCAAAGAAUGAUUAAGUAACUCAGUUUAGGAGAAAGUAUCUCCAAUGCACACAUUUAACAAAGAUGUAUCUAGAUUAUGUAAAGAGCUUGUAGAAAUUAAUAAGAAAAAAAAACCAAUGAUGGUGGGGGGUAGGGGCACAACAAGCAGAACACUUAAGAAGUUACUUUAAAAAAGAUAAACUUCACCUUUAUUAAAUCAAUAAGAAAAAAACUCAGUGAUGGUUGAGGGUUAGGGGGACAACAGGCAAAAGACUUAAGGCACUUUAAAAAACAUAAAUCUCACCUUUAUUAUCAGCCUAACAAAUUAAAGUCAUAAUACUACUAUGUACUUAGACAAAUGACUAAAAGGAAAAAUAUAAUACUAGACUUGGCAAAAAUGUGGAGCAAUCCUACCUCUUAUACAAUGCUGGUGGGAAUGUCAAUUGGUACUUUGGCAGAAUCUACUAAAGGUGAACAUAGGCGCUGAGUGAAGUAAGUCAGUCGGAGAAGGACAAACAUUGUAUGUUCUCAUUCAUUUGGGGAAUAUAAAUAAUAGUGAAAGGGAAUAUAAGGGAAGGGAGAAGAAAUGUGUGGGAAAUAUCA